rnacentral:lncRNA from 1 species
UUUUUUGGAGGAACAACUACAAGGAUGAACAAACAACCACAACACCUAGCACCUGCUAAGUUGUAGUCAAGGAUUUCUUCAUUUUAAUUAUGAAGUGGAAUGAUGGUAGAAUCAUUUCUUAAAAUGGCAUGAGGGCUGAGGCCAUUGAUUUUAUUCUGCUCAGCCUUACCAUUAUGGACCAACAAAUCUCCGGAUAUUCUUUUAAUUUCUAUUUCUAUGCUUUUAAUAUUUUUGGUUUGUUCCUCAGGUCAUAUUACUUCAUACUCAUAAACUCUGUUAAUCCAUGACUCAGUCAGAAGUGCAUGCAAAGCAUUGCAAGAUGAUAGAGAAGAGCAUGAUCUAAGUGAUCAUUCGGGCUUCUCUGGCGAGUUUUAUGGAACCUCAAAAUUCCUCAGAAAACGAAAAUCUUUGUCUGGAGAGCAGUAAGAGAUUGUUUACCCUCAAAAUUCCUCAGAAAACGAAUAUCAUUGUCUGGAGAGCAGUAAGAGAUUGUUUACCAACGAAGGAACAAUUGCAAAUUAGAAAAGUAGCAGUCAACCCCAUGUCCAGUGUGCAACGAAGACCGAGAAACAAUUUAUCACAGGCUGGUAUCAUGUCCGUAUGGUGCCAAAUGUUGGGAACACAAGAAUGUUGAAGGUGGGAGGGGGGAAGCUCAGAGAGAUUUUAAGCAGUGGAUGACAUUUGUACUUCAGAGAUAUAGGAGUAGCUAAAAUCUGUAUGAUCUGCUGGAAACUGUGGCAGAAUAGAAACGACAUUAUAUGGAAUCAAAGAAUUGGGUUUAUGACCCAGGCGGAUGGUAAAGCCCAAUGGGAGCGACCACCGGAAGGUAUGAUUAAGAUAAAUACUGAUGGAGCCUUAUUCGAAGAUUUUAACACAUACAGCUAUUCCAUGAUAGUGAGAAACCAUGCAGGUGAUCUAGUAGAAUCAAAAGCAAGCUGUAGANNNNNNNNNNNNNNNNNNNNNNNNNNNNNNNNNNNNNNNNNNNNNNNNNNNNNNNNNNNNNNNNNNNNNNNNNNNNNNNNNNNNNNNNNNNNNNNNNNNNNNNNNNNNNNNNNNNNNNNNNNNNNNNNNNNNNNNNNNNNNNNNNNNNNNNNNNNNNNGAGAUUAUGCAGGUGCAAUUGUGAGACAGGGAACAGUGAACCCAGAAAUGGCUGAAUUAAUGGGUAUAAGGGAAGCUCUCAGUUGGCUUAAAGACAAAGAUUAUGCAGGUGCAAUUGUGGAAACUGGAAACAGACUGUCUGGCCAUGGUUCAGGCAAUCAGGAGCUCAACAGCAACUCUUUCAUACCUAGGAAGAGUGACCAGUGAAUGAAAAUCUUUAUUAUUACUUUCAUUAAAACAUUAUCCUAAUGUUACUUUUAAUUUUGUGAAGUCAACAAAGUUGCUCACGUGCUAUACAGGGAGAAACUCUAAUUCUAUAGCUGAACGCUUAGGUGGAUAUAGGUGGUGAUACUGCUCCCAUCUUUUAUCAAGUAAUGUUGGACGAUUUGAAGUUUUAAUACUAAUCUUUUUUUAUGGCAAAAAAAUAAAAAUUGAUUGUAUUAUUUUUUAUUAUAAUCUUUAUUAUUUACAUUAUGAACAUAUUAAUAAAAUAACAAUUACUUCAGUAUUAAGAUAAGGAAUUAUAAUUUUUUAAUUUUAUACUUAUCUAAAAAGAAAGAGAGUCUAAAAAAAUAUUAAUAAAUAGAUAUUUAUUAAAAUUAAAAGUUAAAAGUAAUUAAGGAAUACAGACAAAAGUAGUUGCAUUCAAAAGAAUACUUGCAAUACAACUGUUACGUUCAAAACAGUACUACAGCUGUUACAGCUCAUUCACGUAUUGACUAUAAUGUCAGGAAACUGCUUAAAGCAAAUGUGAACUGUAUGGUCUUGUUUGGAAGUUAGAGGUUUGGAACAAAAUCAGAGGUUUUAGGUGUUUUAGAGGUUUGACCACUAAAAUAAGCUAAUAUUAAUGUUUGGUAGUUAGGGGAUUGAAAUAGAGGUUUGGAUCCAAAAAGCUAAUUUUGAAAAAGUUACUUUGAGGAACUUUUUGGGAUUAGCAGUUUGGAUCCAAAAAGCUAAUUUUGAAAAAGCUACGUACUUUGAGGAGCUUUUUGGAUUAGCCCUUUCGGUUUGUGUCAGAAAAAGCUAAUCAAUCAGCUAUUUACCAAACAGUUUUACGAGAAACAGCUAAUUCAAUCUGCUAGUCAAAACAUCUAAUUCAAUAAGCUAGUUAAAAUAGCUAAUUCGAUCCGCUAACAGCUAACCGCUAAUUCCCAGACAAGGCCUAUAAUUAUUAUUAUGUGUAUAUUGAUUCAAAUACGAACCACAAUUUUCUUAUAUUAAUGUAAAACUCUUAAGUACAUCAAUUCCUUUACUGUGAUAUUUUUAUUGAUUUCAAAAUCUAAAUAUCAAAUUUUUAGUUAGAAAUAUCUUUUUGGAAUUUGAGUACGUAACAAAUGAAAAGGCACUCCAGGUUAAAUAAGUGAUACUCCUUCAUAAGUGUCCUUUGACUUUUGAUUAGUCAAAUUAACUACACUUUGAUUAAAAUUUAUAUAUAUUAUAUAAGUGAAUUUUUUUUAUAAAAAAUAUUUUUGAUAAAUAAAUCUAGUCUAUUUUAAUAUGUAAUUUUCUAUUUUCAAAAAUAACAAAUAAAUAUUUUUUAAUAGUUGGUCAAAUUUUAGUCAAUUUGACUUAUCGAAAAGCAAAAUAGACAUGUAAAUUGGGACGGAAGGAGUAAAAAAAGAUUAUGGUUGAAGAAAUAAAAAAAAUAAGCAAGUCAAAGUGUAACUAAUUAGAAAAAUAAUCACAUUUCAAAUUGUUAAGUUCAAAACAAAGCACUUACAUUUCAUGAAAUCAUCCAAACCGCUCUAAUUAAUGUUAUUGAGACGGUUAAAUAAACAAAACACCAAUAUUAGCUGCAAAUACAGCUGUGACCAAGCAUAGUACUUAAAGUCACACAUAUAUUUAUAUAAUUUGUGCAAUUGCCUAGGAUAAUAUUAUUUAUAUUUUUGUUUUGAUUUUAUGCUUCUUUUCUUUAAUCGAUCUGAGCAUUAAAAGAAAUAUUUUAUACCAUGUUAUUCUAGCAUCUAACUCAUAAUAAUUAUAAUUUUAAUUUUAUUCUCAUUCUCUAUUGAUUUUUUGAAAUAUAUUUCAAAUAUUGUAACACAUAUUUAUAAAUUUUUUGUUUAGGUAAUAAAAAUUUUAAAAAUAUUUAUCUAAAAAUAAAGAGAGCCUAAAGAAAUAUUAAUAAAAAAAUAUUUAUUAAAACUAAAAGUUAAAAGUAAUAAGGAAUACAGACAAAAGUAGUUACAUUCAAAAGAAUACAUGCAAUACGACUGUUACAGUACUACAACGUUACUCUGAGCUCAUUCACCUCUUGACUAUAAUGUCAGCAAACUGCUUAUAGCAAAAGUGAACUGUAUUAGUAUUUUACUAAAAUUUUCACACAUUUGUUUGGGCAUUUUCUAGCCAUUAAGAUUUGAGGUCAGUUUUCAAGCAUCCUUCAAUCUUGUUUAUGAUUAAUGUACGAUUUUGUUUACUGUUUGUUUCACAACUUCAAAUCUAUAGGUUUAUCAAUGGCUUCUUCUUCUUCUCCCAACGCUCAAAUCUAGCUUGCUCGACAUAUGGUAACAGCACAAGAAUCUAUAGGUUUAUCAAUGGCUUCUUCUUCUUCUCCCAACGCUCAAAUCUAGCUUGCUCGACAUAUGGUAACAGCACAAGAAAUACAGCUCUUUCUCUGUAACUUUUUUAGUUUCUAUGAUUUUAGUAUUACUCUUUUUUUUCCGUUGAUUUUAAUAAUUUUCUUUCGUUCGUGUAAUCAUUAAAUUUGAUCCAUUUCAUUUACUUAGUCUAUAACUUAAUCCAUGUGUACUUGUGAUUGUGUUUGCUUCUUGUUUCAUUUGUAAUUGCCGGAUCUUACUUUUUCCCACAUACAGGGUGUUGUGGAUGACACUCUAAAUAGGAUUUAUGCGUUGAAACAACACCAAAGCGACCCACAGUUUUUUGUCCAGGUCCUGACUGCCUUCACGAGUGAUGCCCCUGUUAUCAUCACUAAACUUGAAUCAUCCAUGUAUGUAUUUGUACAUAUUUUUGUGGUUAUUGUAUAGCUUUCUAUGUUCAUUCAGCCCUAAUUAUAGGCCAUGUUUGCGUAUUCUUAUAUGUUAUCAGGAGCCAAAAUUUAAUAGACUUUGAAGAUUUGGAUAAAGAUGCCAUAAAACUUCGAGGAGCAUCUUCAAGGUAAAUGAUUAAUUAUGCGGGUGGUCUAACCUGUGAGGGCACAAGUUAAGGUGUAUUUAAUACAUCUGUGGAGUGGUUACCAGCUCAUAUGAUUUAAUAAUGCUGACUACUACUUUUCACUUUGUCCUAUUUUUUAAUUUUUCUCUUCUUCUCACCUUUUAACACUUUCAUGUUUACUUUUUAAAAUUUUAUUUUUUUAAAUAUAUAGAUUGAUAAAAAAAAUAAGUAAAGGGUAUUUUUUGGAGGAACAACUACAAGGAUGAACAAACAACCACUACACCUAGCACCCGCUAAGUUGUAGUCAAGAAUUUCUUCAUUUUCAUUAUGAAGUGGAAUGCUGGUAGAAUCAUUUCUUAAAAUGGCAUGAGGGCUGAGGCUAUUGAUUUUAUUCUGCUCAGCCUUACCAUUAUGGACCAACAAAUCUCCCGAUAUUCUUUUAAUUUCUAUUUCUAUGCUUUUAAUAUUUUUGGUUUGUUCCUCAGGUCAUAUUAUUUCAUACUCAUAAACUCAUUUAAUCCAUGACUCAGUCAGAAGUGCAUGCAAAGAAUUGCAUGAUGAUAGAGAAGAGCAUGAUCUAAGUGAUCAUUCGGGCUUCUCUGGCGAGUUUUAUGGAACCUCAAAAUUCCUCAGAAAACAAAAAUCUUUGUCUGGAGAGCAGUAAGAGAUUGUUUACCAACGAAGGGACAAUUGCAAAUUAGAAAAUUAGCAGUCAACCCCAUGUCCAGUGUGCAAUGAAGACCGAGAAACAAUUUAUCACAGUCUGGUAUCAUGUCCGUAUGGUGCCAAAUGCUGGGAACACAAGAAUGUUGAAGGUGGUAGUGGGGAAGCUCAGAGAGAUUUUAAGCAGUGGAUGACAUUUGUACUUCAGAGAUAUAGGAGUAGCUAAAAUCUGUAUGAUCAGCUGGAAACUGUGGCAGAAUAGAAACGACAUUAUGUGGAAUCAAAGAAGUGUAGAACCUUUUGAACUUGUGCAAUCAGCAGAACUCGUUUUUAAUCAAUGGAGAAAUGCCCAAGAUAAAUCAUUGACAAUUAUCUUGGGUUUAUGACCCAGGCAGAUGGUAAAGCGCAAUGGGAGCGACCUCCGGAAGGUAUGAUUAAGAUAAAUACUGAUGGAGCCUUAUUCGAAGAUUCUAACACAUACAGCUAUUCCAUGAUAGUGAGAAACCAUGCAGGUGAUCUAGUAGAAUCAAAAGCAAGCUGUAGACAGGGAACAGUGAACCCAGAAAUGGCUGAAUUAAUGGGUAUAAGGGAAGCUCUCAGUUGGCUUAAAGACAAAGAUUAUGCAGGUGCAAUUGUGGAAACUGGAAAGAGACUGUCUGGCCAUGGUUCAGGCAAUCAGGAGCUCAACAGCAACUCUUUCAUACCUAGGAAGAGUGACCAGUGAAUGCAAAUCUUUAUUAUUACUUUCAUUAAAACAUUAUCCUAAUGUUACUUUAAAUUUUGUGAAGUCAACAAAGUUGCUCACGUACUAUACAAGGAGAAACUCUAAUUCUAUAGCUUAACGCUUAGGUGGAUAUAGGUAGGGCUGUAAACAAACCAAACAGUUCGUGAGCUACUCGAGCUCGAUUCGGCAAAUAUUUGAAUUCGAUUCGUUAUUAAUCGAGCUGAGCCCGAACUCGAACAGUUCGAACAUUAUGUCGAGCCGAACCCGAGCUUAAAAGUAUUUGGUUCGUAGGGUUCGCGAGCCUAUUCGAGCUUUAGUUGUAUUAUAUAUAUUUUAGGAUUAUGUGUCCAUUUAUAAUUUAUGUUUAUUUAUUAUCAAACUUAAGUAUUAAAAACCCUAGUAUUAUUCUUAUAAUCUUAUACGUUCUAUUUAGUUUUAGACUUUUAGUCUUCAGUCUUCACCCACUCCUUCAGAAUUCAAACCGUCACUUCCUCUCUGCCAGAAGGAGUUCUGCGGCUCUGAGGCAGAAGUCUCAAUUCCUUUCUGAUCUAGCCAUUUCCGAUUAAGACCUGCAGGGUACAUACUAUAAGUUUGUCAAAAACAGGUAUGAUUCUUUAUUAUAUCACUCUUAGAUUGUAGAACUCGUUAAUAUGUCAAAACCCUAUAGCCUCAUACAUCUUAGAUUUUUGUAAAGUUCCUUAUUCAUCUUAUCACUUUUAGAUUUUAUUUCUUUUCUUGUCCAGCAUGUCAUCAGAGCAAAUGAGAAUGCAUAAUACCAGUACAAAUGACAUUCCUGCUAGUGUUGAGAACAAUGAGAAUGCGGAUGAGAUGGAUAUUGAAGAAGAAGAAAAUUCUAUGUUUCAAAAGAAAAAGAGACAAAAAACUUCAGAGGUGUGGAAAGAUUUGAAGGAAAUCACUCUUCCAGAUGGUACUCUCAAAGCUGAAUGUAUUCACUGUAAAACAAAGCUUGCAAUAUUGAGAAGUAAGGUUACCAGUCACAUGUCAAGGCAUUUACAGACUUGUACACAAAGGAAACUCAACAUGAAACAGCAACAAAGACUCAACUUCCAACCAUCUUCUUUAUGUGAAGUGGCAAUGGUGGCUCCUGCACUUACAGAUGGGAAAUUUGAUAUGGCUAAGAUGAGAAAAGCAGCUGCAAACUGGGUGUUAAUGCAUGAGCAUCCAUUUUCAAUUAUGGAGGAAGAGGGGUUUAAUAUGAUGCAGAAGACCGGAAUGCCUGAGUGGGAAAAAAUUUCUCGUAAUACAAUCAAGAAUGAUUGUGUAUCGGUAUAUGAAUUGGAAAAGAAGAAAUUGAAGACAGUGUUAAAGAAUGUAAAUAAGAUCAGUUUGACGACGGAUAUGUGGAAGUCAGGCAAUCAAAAAAUUGAGUAUAUGGUAAUCACUGGCCACUUUGUAGAUUCUGAAUGGAAACUUCAAAAACGUGUCUUGAGCUUUAUUCAUCUGCCUCCUCCUCUUCGUGGAAUUGAUAUUGCAGAUGGUAUUUAUAAGUGUCUAAAAGAGUGGGGAAUCGAGAGUAAAGUCUACACAAUAACAGUUGACAAUGCUGCGAAAAAUGACGCGUGUUUAAGAAAUCUGAAGGAUACUUUUUCUAGAAAUAAAAAGUUACUUUGUGGCGGCAAAUUGUUUCAUGUUCGAUGUACAGCACAUAUCUUGAAUCUUAUGGUACAAGAUGGCCUUUCCAAAAUCAAGCAUGUCAUUCGAGACAUUCAUGAUAGCGUCAACUUUCUGAAUAUAUCAGAAGCUCGACUUAAUUUAUUUGCUGAAAUCGUUCAACAGUUGCAAGUGCCUCAUAGGAUGCUUAUUCUCGAUUGUAAAACCAGGUGGAAUUCAACAUUUAUGAUGUUGUCAACUGCAAUCAAAUUCAAAGAUGUGUUUCCAAGAUAUCAAGAACGUGAGCCUAGUUACUAUUGCUGUCCAAGUGCUGAAGAUUGGUUAAAAGUGGAGAGGGUCUGUAAGCUUUUGGAGGUGUUUAAUUCUGCCACUAACAUCAUUUCAGGAAGUGAGUAUCCGACAUCAAACUUAUUUCUAAAUGAAGUUUAUCGUGUGAAGGUCGUGUUGGAUAAAAAGCAUUCAGAAAUCACAGAUGAAGAGGAUUUCAUGUAUAGUAUGAUUGAAGCUAUGAAACAGAAAUUUGAUAAGUAUUGGGGUGAAGUUAAUUUGCUAAUGGCUAUUGGGGCUAUUUUGGAUCCUCGAUGCAAGAUGAGAGUCAUUGAAUUUUGCUUCCCUAAAAUGUAUCCCGGAAGUGCAGCAAAAGAUAAUAUUUCUAAAGUUCGAGAGGCUUUAUAUGAGUUAUAUGAUGAAUAUGUGGCUGAAUUUCAAGCUAACAGUGGUGAACAAACAGGUGAAGCACAUGAUGGUUUCCGAAAAGAAGCUAAUACUAUUCAAAUUUCAUCCUCUGGCUGGUCGGAAUUUAAUGAUUUUGUGAAAACGAUUGAAACGGUACAACCGUUGAAAUCUGAUCUAGAUAAUUAUUUAGAAGAAGGGUGUUUUAUUUGUGAAGAUUCAAAAUCUUUUGAUGCUUUAGAAUGGUGGAAAGUAAAUACUUUGAAAUAUCGCAUUUUGUCUAUUAUGGCUCGUGAUAUUCUUGCCAUUCCUAUCACGACGGUAGCCUCUAAAGCUACUUUUAGUGCUGGUGGAAGAGUCAUUUGUUAUGGAACAAAAAACGAAGGGGGUGAGCGAUUCGUGCUUCGGACUAGUCUCGGUGCGAGAUGCCUACGUAUCUUCAGCUAGGAGAAGAAUCAAGUCCAAAACGUAGUUCUAGUUAUGAGGGGUAGAGCCCUUUAUAUAGGCGCUUCGGAGUCAGAAGUUGGAUUGAAGUAUGAUCCCACGUUUCAGACUUCAUAUCGAAGUAUGCUUCGGAGUAACAGAUAAGGAAGAACUCUUAUCUUGCCAAGAACUCCGUGACGUUUAUCCACGAGAGUUAGUUGUAUCGUAGGACUUAGUUUCGUAGCUGGACCUUUGUAUGGGCCUCGUGCCUAUCCAAGUCUUUUUUACGGCCCACAUAUAUCUGGUUCAGAGCGCCAUUGGGCCAAGGCGGGAAUCCUUAUAAUUAAACUGGCUACGUGGGCCUCUGUCGGAUCGGGUCGUAAUAUCAAUUAAUCCAACCCCUAUCAUUUGCCCCCCAACUUUCGACAAAUGUCGUAGUAAUUUGCCGGAAGUUUAUAGAGGUUGUAAUAUUGUAUAUCGUGUAUUUUUGCCGAUCCUUCUACUAAAAUUAGGUUUCUGGGUGUUCUCAUGUUUUCCCGAGGCUAGAUUCUAUUUUAUUGGAAUUUGUGGGAUUAAAUUCCAAUUUUUUAGAAUUUCUCGAGCCUUUUAAUGAUUUUCAAAGUAAUUUUUGAGAAAUAAAUCUCAAAUUUCCUUAUUUUUCCGGGUUUUGAUACUUCCCUUUAAGUGUAAUUCAGGGAAAUUCUUCUUCAGGAGGGAAUGCUUCCUGGGCGUGCAUUGCAAUGCCAAGGAGGCCAUUUGGACACCCACGCCCAGGAGUCAUACCUCCUGUGCGUCGUUGAGAACCGUGACUGGUGCCUGUCCUCCUAGGCGUUGCAGCACACGCCUAGGAGGCAUGAAUACGAGCAACGCCUAGGAGACGUGCUCCCUAGGCGUGCCUAACCUUCUCAGGCUGAGAUGUGUCCUAGGCGUGCUUAGCAACGCCCAGGAGACAUUAAUACGGACGACGCCUAGGAGACAUGCUUCUUAGGCGUGUCUGUCUUCUCACAUUAGUGAUUCUUCCUAGGCGUGCUUUGCGACGCCUAGGAGACAUAAUCCUUUGCAACGCCUAGGAGUCGUGCUCUCUUGGCGUGCUAGAUGAUAUAGACGUCUAUUGUGUCUUGUGUCCUUGGCGUGGUUAUGGGCGCCAAGGAGACGUGUUUUUUAUAAGGCCUACAGGAGUUGCUUCCUUGGCGUGUUUGUAUAGGGGCUUUCUUAAAGCUUUAGUUACGUCGUGUCCCGUGGGCGUGCCUGAUGACGCCAAUGAGACAUUGUUCUUUACGAUGUUCACAAAAUGUGAUUUUUGGGCGUCGUUUAAUUGUAAGCCCUCACAAGGCUACAUUUGGUAUCGUUCUCUUGGCGUGCUUAGCAGCGCCCAGGAGACACUGUUUAAACUUAGGCACAAUGUAGUGCUAUAGGCUGUGGGCCUUAGUCUAUAACUUGUCAGGCCUAUAUUUUGUUCUUUUUCCUAUAUUUUUCAUGUGUCUUGUAGAAUUCUCGAGAUUCUUCUGGAAAAGGCUUGCCUCUUCAAAUUCAUGGGCUAACCGCCUGUAGCUAGGCGUUUUGACCGGCCCAAAAGCCCAUUUUACCGGCUGUAGGCCGUGAGCCCUAGGGUUCACCGGCAAACGAACCGGUUAAAACUUUCUAUAAAUCUAGUGACUGAGAGUUUCACUUCUCAUUUCACUUCAAAGUUUCCAAAGUUUCCAAUUUCAAAUACUCUCAAACACUCUCUAGCUUUCUCUAGUUUCCUAGUCUUCCCUUGUUUCUCGGCGAGAUUUAAGGCGUUUUUCCGGCAACCUUCAAGGAUUCUCCAGAUUCCGGCCCAUCUUCAAGCGUUUUUUUCAGUUUCCGAGCAAUCUUCAUCGUUUCUUCAUCAGUUUCUGGGUUUCAUACCUUCAUCCGAAGAAUAUCAAUGGCUGACUCUGCAUCAUCACAGCAAUCCCAACUUUCUCAGCCACCGGCUGGUAGCUCUCACGCUCGCCGAGGUAAAAAUUCCCUCGUCCAUGCUAGCGUUAUUUCAUUACGUGAUUUGCUUAGCGAGUUUGGUCAGGCUUUUCCCAAUAUUCACCACCUUGAUGCAUAUAAUCACCCCUCUAAGUAUAAGCAAAAAGAUGUAGAUAUAAUGGCUAAGUUGUUUGGUAUUGAACACCCGUAUAGGGCCGUGGCUCCAGGCCCAAAUGAUAGGGCUUGUUACCCUAAGCCUGGGGCCAUUAGGGUUUACAAAGAGAUGUUUUAUGCGGGCUUUAGGCUUCCUCCUCCAAUGUUUGUUUAUAGGCUGUUGGCCGAGGCCCGGGUGUGUCCAACCCAACUUCAGCCCAAUGGCUGGAGGUUUAUCUAUUGUUUUUUAGUCCAGUGCAAGAAACACAACUUAGAGCCCAGUGUAGCCGUCUUUAGAUAUUUGUUUAAGUUUGUAAAUGCACCAAACAAUGAGGGCUGGGUCAAAAUCCAAUAUAGGACUUUGGGCCGUAGUAUUUUCAUUUCGGACUCGGCCCCCGACUCCUUCCCUCAUUGGAAGGGUCAAUGGUUUUAUUUAUACAUGGAGGGGGCCGAUUACUUUUAUUCUCAUUUUAGUCGGGCCGAGGAUGGGGCCAUGAGGUCCCUUAAACUAGGGGUCGAAGAGAGAGUGGCCAUAAAGAUUUUGACUGAGGACUGCCUCCAUCACAGUUCGCUGCUUAUUUCUGAGGCCUCGCUCCAAAGUCAUGGGCUCAGUGAUUUGGGCCCUGAGGGUAAGCCCAUUGUGGUCUUUAAAUUCGACUUGUCUCUUAACAUAUUUUGUGAAUACUUAUGUCAUUUUUCUCAUUUGUCUUGCAGCCCAAGCCGCUCUUGGAAGUAUUUUCAAGAAGCGCGAAACCGCCGCUUCUCAGGCGGUGGUUACCGAAGUGCCUCGCGAGAAGAGGUCGCGAAAGAGGGGGAAGUCCCCAGUUAUCGAGAAGGUUCCGGCCUUUCUAACUCCUCGCGAGGUGGCCGUCGAGGAGGACUCAGGCCCCUACGUCGUGGAGUGGGGCCUUCAUAAAAAGGAUACCGUGGUGGGAGACUCUCGGGCCGCCGCGGAGUGGUCCCGGAACGUGAUUACUCCCCGGGAUCGAGCCUAUGUGGUGGAAUCGUCCGAGGACCUCCAGAUCGAGCUUCUGGGGGCCCAAGCCGUGGCAACGGUAAGCCCAAAACUUACGUAUUGCCUUGUUUUUUAGUCCUUUUCUUACUUAGGCAAUUUUUCUUCUUCUAACUGCAAUAUUUUGUGUAGGUCAAUACCUACCUCCAGGUUGCGGUUCACAACCUGAAGGUGGUUAGGGCCGAGAAAACGAUCGCGGAACGUGACCGCGACAGUUAUUUCGAAGCCUCAACUACUAACUUCGAGCAGUUUCGGAGGGUGGAGGCCGAGUUAGUGGCCGAACAAGAAAAGGUCCGUACCUUGGAGGCGGAAUUGGCACGGGUCCGCAGAGAGGCGGUGGAGGACUUUAAAAAGUCCAAAGAAUUCGACGAUAUCCUCGCUGCGGAGUUCGACUCAUCCUUUGCCGAGACCUUUAAGUCCUGUUGGGAAAGGAUCAUAGACGAACUCGGUUCUCAGAUCGAGGGAGUUACCUUGGAGCGAUUCCCCGUUCCGAAACUUCCUGGGGAGGAGACUCCCUCCCCGAUGGCGGUCGAGGAUCUCGGGGGGUCGCACCCCUUGGAAUCUCAAGAUUUGGAGAUUCCAACCGAGGACCUUAUGAUCCAAGAUUCCCAUCAGGAUGAAAAGGAUCUUGGGAAAGGAGGAGAGGCCCUAGUCGACGAGGCCCGGGAGAAGGCGGCCCAAGGUGAAGAAACCCAGGAGGUGGAGGCCCGACUUCACGGGUCGACCCAGGAGCAGGAAGACGUCUUUGACGACGGGCUUCCAUAGAUUAGGUCUAUUUUUAGCCCUGCGAGGCGUAUUUUUGUAAUUAUAACUUAUUCGAAUAUUUAUACCCUUCGGGGUUUUAACUUAUUUAUCUAAGUUCUCUUUUGUUCCAUCUUUUAUCUUCCUGCAUAUCGCGCAUUUAAUAUUCUUUACUUAGAAUAUUCUUGAACUAACUCUCGUAAGAUUUUAGUUGAAUUUGUUAAUUCAAAUCUCAGAAUAAUCCUCGGGACUUUACUUUUAAAUCAGGAUCGAUUCAGAACAAUUCUUACUUAGAAUUUUCAAACUCUGAAUUUCCAAACUCCAAAUUGUCUUCUAAUUAAGAUGACCCUUCAGGGUUGGUUGACCUUUAAUCGUCAUACUUUAACUUAGGAUUUACUUAGAGUCUUUUCUCAGCUUCAAGCUUUUCUCCAUGUUCAAAACGUUGUAUUCAAAGGAAGACACAAUUUAACAAAAUCAAGGCUAAAAAUCCUCGGGACUUUCAUUAAUAUCAUAGUAAAAGAGAUAAACUAUUCUUCAAUUCAACUACAUGGCAGUGGUCGAUAUGACCUUAUUCUUGUGAUAACUACUAACUUCUACUAUCAUAGGAUAAGCAUCAAAUAUAAUAUAUCUUCAAGUUGGCCGCAUGCCAACUUCUGGGGACUUCAAUUCCUUCAAGGGUCUGAAGCUUAUAUGAGCCAUGGCCCGUGACGGCCUUAAUUUGAUAGGGGCCUUCCCAGUUUGGGGCCAUCUUGCCCUUGGGGCCCUCUCCAGAGGCUUCAAUCUUUCUAAGCACCAGGUCUCCUUCUCGAAAGUAUCGUUCCUUAACUCGUAGGUUCUAGUAGUAGGAAGCUCGCUUCUGGUUUUCCACGAUUUUAGCAUGAGCCUCAUCACGGAUUUCGUCAAUCAUGUCGAGUGCGAGUCUCAUACCUUCCUUAUUGGCUUCUGGCUCAUAAUGCUGGACCCUUGAGGAAGUGUGAGUGAUUUCAAGGGGCACAACUGCUUCAGCUCCAUAAGCUAGCUGGAAAGGGGUUGCCCCGGUAGAGACUUUACAAGUUGUUCGAUAGGCCCAAAGUAUUGGAAGCAGUUCCUCGGCCCAUGACCCCUGGGCCUUCUCAACUCUUUUUUUAAGUCCGUCGAGGAUUAUCCUGUUAGCCACCUCAGCCUGUCCAUUAGCUUGAGGGUGAGCAACUGAGGUGAAGCGUAGUUCAAUCGAGUAAUCUUCGCAAUAACUCUUGAACUCGGCAUUGUUGAAUUGAGUCCCAUUGUCUGUCACCAUGAUUCGUGGUAUUCCAUACCUGCAGAUAAUAUUUUCCCAUACAAACUGAGCAACCUGCUUGGUGGUUAUCUUGGCCAGUGUUUUGGCCUCGAUCCACUUAGUAAAAUAAUCAAUCGCUACCAACAGGAACUUCCUUUGCGCACUAGCAAGUGGAAAAGGUCCAAGGAUAUCCAUUCCCCACAUGGCAAAAGGGAUAGGAGUGUUGAUAGACGUCAACAUCUCCGGGGGCUGUUGUACUACCGGUGCGAACCUUUGACACCGAUCACACCUUUUCACAUAUUCUUGGGCCUGCUUAAGCAUAUCGGGCCAAUAAAAUCCAAGAUGGGUUAUUUUGUGAGCCAAUGCCCUUCCUCCAAGGUGUUGGCCACAUACUCCUUCGUGAACUUCCCUAAGAGCUUCUCGUGCCUCAUCAGGCCUUAGACAUCUCAAAUAGGGAAUUACAAACAAUUUCCGAUAUAAGAUCCCUUCAAUGAGGACGUAUUUGAGGGCCCUUACCUGUAACUUCCGUGCAUCAUCAGCGUUGGUUGGUAGAUGACCACUUUUAAGAUACAACUUGAUUUCAUCCAUCCAGGUGGCUCCCGUGUCAAUUGGAGCAACCAACUUAGCAUCGAUGCUUGGGGUUCUCAUAACCUGAUAAUAAACACUUCCCGAGCAUACCUCAUCAUCAGAGGAAGCAAAUUGAGACAAGGCAUCAGCUUUAGUGUUCUCCUCUCUUGGCACAUAUUCUACAAUGCACUCUUCAAAUAAUGCCAUUUGAGUCUUAACAAUCCUCGGGUAUCUGAGCAUCGUAUCUUCCCGAGCUUCAAACUCGCCAUUUACUUGGAAAACUACAAGCUUCGAGUCACCACAGACCAUCAAAUUCUUUACCCUCAGGGUUCUGGCUAAUCCAAGCCCAGCUGUUAAAGCCUCGUAUUCAGCCUCGUUGUUGGUAGUUGGGAAGUCCAACUUGAUAGCGUAUUCCACAGUAAAGCCAUCGGGGCUUUGGAGCACGAGUCCUGCACCACUACCUUUUGUUUUUGAAGCCCCGUCAAAAAAUAGCAGCCAGUAUUCUUUAGGUUUCUCUUCCUUGGUGGGCUCUUUUACCUUGUCUUCCUGCCCCCCGACUUCCUUGUUGUUAAUGGUACAUUCGACGAGGAAGUCAGCUAAAGCCUGUGCUUUAAUCGCCGUUCGAGGCUUGUAUCGGAUCACCGAGUAAUUGAGCUCUGCUCCAUGCAAAACUUUGCUCACGUAGUACACUGGUUUUUGAAUUUUCAACUCCUCUCGAACUAAUACAGCACUCAGUGCUUGUUCUGAAACUGGUAGAUAUACAUACAAGGUCUCACCAUCAAUGGGCUUUGAUAGGAGAGGUGGCUCUGCCAUGUACUUCUUCAGUUCCUCAAAAGCUACUUGGCUCUCUUCUGUCCACUCGAAAUUCUUAACCUUUUUCAAGGCUUUGAAGAAGGGUAAGCAUUUGUCUCCUGACUUGGAUACAAAUCUUCCCAGGGCCGCAAUCCUUACUGUCAACGUCUGUACAUCCCUUACACUCUUGGGAGGUUCCAUAUCGAGGAUGGCUUUUAUUUUGUCAGGGUUGGCCUCAAUACCACGUUUGGAGACCAUUAAACCAAGAAACUUCCCGGAACCAACCCCAAAGGCACACUUGGCCGGGUUUAACAUCAUCUUAUGCGUCCUCAGGACUUCAAAAGCUUCUUUCAAAUGUUCGAGGUGAUCCGAUUUAUUUAAGCUUUUCACCAGCAUAUCAUCAACGUAUACUUCCAUAGUUUUGCCUAUCAGAUGUUUGAACAUCUUGUUUGCUAAGCGUUGGUAUGUGGCUCCUGCAUUCUUAAGUCCAAAUGCCAUAACCAAAUAACAAAAUACACCAAAGUCUGUAAUGAAUGAUACCUUGGGGACGUCGUCUUUGUCCAUCCGGAUCUGAUUAUAUCCGCUGAACCCGUCCAUAAAACUUAGCAUCUCAUGGCCAGCGGUGUCAUCUAUUAGCGUGUCUAUCCUUGGAAGGGGGAAACAAUCCUUGGGACAAGCAUCAUUCAGAUCAGUGAAGUCUACGCACAUUCUCCACUUUCCAUUGGCCUUCUUGACCAUAACAGGGUUAGCUAACCACUCAGGAAAUUGAAUUUCCUCAAUAAAUCCGGCUUCCAACAACUUAUCGACCUCCUGUUUAAUGGCUUCCUGCCUUUCGGGAGCGAUAUUCCUCUUCUUUUGCUUAAUUGGUUUCCUAUCAGGAUUCACAUUCAGUUUAUGAGUCAUGAAUAAGGGAUCAAUACCUGGCAUGUCAGCCGCUGUCCAAGCAAAAACAUCCCGAUUGUUCCUCAAGAACCUCACUAGUUCUUGCUUCAAGUCUUCCUGAAGUAAGGCUCCAACAUAAGUAACCUUUUCGGGUUCCUCAGUAUGCAAUGGGACUGGAAUCAGGUCUUCGGCGGGCUUGCCUCUUCUUUCUUCCUCCUUUCGGACAUCGAGAUCCUCUAUGGGUAGUACUUGCCCCCCGGCUCCGCCAGACCUUAGUGGCCCAAUAUAACAGCUUCGGGCCAUUUUCUGAUAUCCCAAUUCUUCUCCAAUUCCGUUCCUAGUUGGGAAUUUAAUCUUCAUGUGGUAAGUGGACGGGAUUGCCCUAAAAGCGUGUGUCCCAGUCCUCCCAAGGAUGGCAUUAUAGGUUGAUGAGGCUUUAACGACCAAGAAAUUUACCAUACAGGUGGCUUGUCUAGGUUCGGUACCCAUGGUUACAGGAAGUUGGAUCAUGCCUUCAAUCUUAGUUUCCACAUUGUUGAAGCCAUAUAUAGGCAUAUCCGAGGGUGUUAGUUGAGUAUCGGAAUAUCCCAUCUUUUCAUAGGCAUCAUAAAACAAGAUAUCUCCAUUAUCAACAAGCACUCUCUUUACGGACGAGUUUCCAAUCACCGGUGUAAUUACUAAGGGGUCAUCAUGGGGGAACUUUACCUUCUCGAGGUCAACGUUAUCGAAUGCCACUGCAUAGUCAAUUUUUGCCCGCUUCGGAGGUUCUCCAACUAUAUUCAUCACUUCCCUUGCAUAAGCUUUUCUUGAAUUGCUUGAAGUGCCUGCGGCCGUAGGCCCUCCGGAGAUUAUGUUGAUCACAGGGCCUCGAGGCUGAGCUCUCUUAUCAUCAUUGUCUCUUCCACGACUGUCAUUGUCCCGAUAAUUUUUAUCUCCAUCCUUGGUGAACUUAGACAACUUACCUCUUCGGAUCAAGAAUUCGAUUUCAUCUUUCAAUUGCCGACAAUCAUCGGUCUUAUGCCCCGUGUCUUUGUGGAAUCGACAAUACAAAUCCUUGUUUCGUUUCUCGGGGUCGGUCCUUAUGGGCUUCGGCCAUCGGACACUCUCAUCCUUUUCGAUCUCCAUUAGGAUUUGACUUCUUGGGGCAUUGAGUCCUACCUUCUUUUUAGCAGGCGACUUCUCAUCAUCAUCCUUUUUGGCAUAUUUAUUCUCAGCGUUAUACUCGGCAUCAUUCCCACGUUUCUUAAAGUUAGUGUUUGGCCCUUGGUUACUCUGGGAUUUCCUUAGGCUUUCCUCUGCCUUAAUAUACUUCCCGGCUCUCUCUUGUAAGUCGUUCAUAUUAUCAGGGGCUCUUUUGGCUAGAGAUCGACGAAAAUUGUCAUCAGUGGUACCCUGCUGGAGUGCAAUCAUGGCUACCUUCUGAUCCAGGUCCGGGACCUUCAAGGCUUCUUUGGUAAAACGAUUCAUAUACUCCCGAAGUGAUUCGUUUUUACCCUGGUGUAAAUUCAUUAAUGAGGCGGAGCUUUUGGCGUGAGUUUUGCUUCCAACGAAUUGUCCUAUGAAGGCCCUGCUCAGGUCAGCAAAACAGGAAAUAGAGUUUGGAGGUAAGCGACUGUACCAGUUCUGAGCCAUUCCGCUCAAAGUUUGAGGAAAAGCACGGCACUUGAUUGCUUCCGUAACGGGUUGGAGUAACAGAGCAUUCAUGAAGGUUCGAACGUGGUUGGCGGGAUGACCCGUGCCAUCAUAAGCUUUAAUGGUUGGGAGCUUAAAUUUUCGAGAGAUUCUUGCACCCAUGAUUUCUUGCGUAAAAGGGGGAACGGGGUUAUCGGGAUCACCUGCUGGUAACAAGUGAAUCUGAUUCAUGACAUUCUGACGAGGGUUUUCAUCUCUUGGUUCCGGAGGCGGCAACCUCGCCUGGUCCCUCUUUAAUCGUGCAAUUUCCUCCUCGUAAGCACGGAUUCGAUCCUCAUAGGCUUGGUUCGUUGCUCCCCGGAGCUCAUUAGCCUCCUGCCUAUGGCGGCAUCGACGGUGUCGAGUAUGAUCGGUAUCUCUUCUCCUUCGAGGGGGAGUCUUGCUCCGAUUCAGAGGAGUCGUAAUCAGUUACGUGCACAUAGUCAUCACCCGUGCCUCCACGAGUGGUUGUCGUGACGGUUGAAUAAUGCGUGCCGGCGUCAGUGACGGUUGCAAUUACUCGAGUCAGAGGGGGCAGCGAGCCAAAAGUCAGGGGAGCGGUAGUUUGAGCAAUGGUCGUACCGAGCGGGAGGGAAGUAGUUACAGGGGUUGAUUCAGUCGAGACUCCGGUGGUGGUUCUGCUGCGUGGAACAUGGAUUUCAGAACGUGGUCCGGUUGGGUUCGUCAUGGUUGUUGUUUCGGCUUCCCACAGACGGCGCCAAAUGUUAUGGAACAAAAAACGAAGGGGGUGAGCGAUUCGUGCUUCGGACUGGUCUCGGUGCGAGAUGCCUACGUAUCUUCUGCUAGGAGAAGAAUCAAGUCCAAAACGUAGUUCUAGUUAUGAGGGGUAGAGCCCUUUAUAUAGACGCUUCGGAGUCAGAAGUUGGAUUGAAGUAUGAUCCCACGUUUCAGACUUCAUAUCGAAGUAUGCUUCGGAGUAACAGAUAAGGAAGAACUCUUAUCUUGCCAAGAACUCCGUGACGUUUAUCCACGAGAGUUAGUUGUAUCGUAGGACUUAGUUUCGUAGCUGGACCUUUGUAUGGGCCUCGUGCCUAUCCAAGUCUUUUUUACGGCCCACAUAUAUCUGGUUCAGAGCGCCAUUGGGCCAAGGCGGGAAUCCUUAUAAUUAAACUGGCUACGUGGGCCUCUGUCGGAUCGGGUCGUAAUAUCAAUUAAUCCAACCCCUAUCAUCAUUGAUACAUAUCGUGCUUCAUUAUCCCCUGAAACAGUCCAAGUACUUCUUUGUGGAGAAGAUUGGUGUCGCAGUCUUCAUGGGAUUAAAAGAAAGAACAAGGUAUAAUUUAUAUUAAAUUUCUCACAUAAAUCAAACUAUUUAUUUUGACGGAAUCGUGAUAUUUAUUAUAUAUUGAUCAUAUAUUUUACUUGACGAGGAGAAGAAACCAAUCGAAAUUUUGCUGCCUAAUAUUGGAUGAGUGCUAAAUAGUUAUGAUUUUGUCAUUCUGAACUCUCAAGGUUAGUCAUCUUUUAUCCUAUCACCUAUAUAAGUUAUAUGAGUAUGUGCUUUAUGGCAUUUCAGGUUCUUAAUUUCUAUUUAUUUUCAUUUCAGGCUUCAGCAUAAAGUUUCAGACAGUUAGUAUAUGCAGGGGCAAUGAAGUUUGGUUAUUGGCUUAUUGCAUAAUAUCUCAAUUCCCAUUUUAAUUACUAAUGUUUGGACCAGAACUAUCUUAGUUGAACUUUUUCUAUUUUUGAUGGCCGGUUGUGCCUUUUGGAAUUAAAUAUUAUUAGUUGCUAUGUUUAUUGAAUCUGCCUUUAAAAUUAUGUAAAACAUGGUGAAUCGUUGGUGGAAGUAUUUUUUUGGUUGCUGAUGUUGCAAUUUGGUUUUGUUUUGUUUGAAUUUUUCUGUUGCUGGCUUGCUGCUACUAAGGUAUCUGGAGUUUUGUUGAUGAUGUUUUUUGCAUAAUGGUGUUUACAUAUGAUUUGAUUUGUGGGAAUUUCUCACUGGGAAACAUAGUAAGAAGAUUGGUGGUGCACUGGUGCCACUGUGCUGUUUUGGCACAACCAAAUUAUGAUGCAUGGUUUGUCAUUUUAAUUUAUACGUUUAUUCUGCUUCCUGCAUCUCCUGCCUUCCUCUGCUUGCUUUAUUUCUUUUAUAUCUUUUAGUGCUAAGUUUGCUUUUCUUAUUUGUGUAUUCGUUUGCCAGAUUUUGGUGGUGUUGGGUUUGAUUUUCGCUGCAUUUCGGUCUGGCAUUGAUCUUUGCUUGGACUUCUUCUUUUUUUAGUUUUUUGUGUGGUUUUUUCGGAGUUACUUGUAAAAUUUGUUUUAUCAUUUUGUAGUUUUUUUCGAGCUUUCGAACCGAACUCGAGUUUAUCGAAUAUUUGUCGAGUCGAGCUUCGAGCUUAAAAUUUUAGGCUCGAUCGAACCCGAGCUUCGAAUUUUUGGACCGAGCCGAACUCGAGCCUAUCACUAUUUGACUCGGCUCGGCUCGUUUACAGCCCUAGAUAUAGGUGGUGAUACUGCUCCCAUAUUUUAUUAAGUAAUGUUGGACGAUUUGAAGUUUUAAUACAAAUCUUUUUUUAUGGCAAAAAAAAUAAAAAUUGAUUGUAUUAUUUUUUAUUAUAAUCUUUAUUAUUUACAUUAUGAACAUAUUAAUAAAAUAACAAUUAUUUCAGUAUUACGAUAAGGAAUUAUAAUUUUUUAAUUUUAUAUUUAUCUAAAAAGAAAGAGAGUCUAAAAAAAUAUUAAUAAAUAGAUAUUUAUUAAAAUUAAAAGUUAAAAGUAAUUAAGGAAUACAGACAAAAGUAGUUACAUUCAAAAGAAUACUUGCAAUACAACUGUUACGUUCAAAACAGUACUACAGCCGUUCCUGAGCUCAUUCACGUAUUGACUAUAAUGUCAGGAAACUGCUUAAAGCAAAUGUGAACUGUAUGGUCUUGUUUGGAAGUUAGAGGUUUGGAACAAAAUCAGAGGUUUGAGGUGUUUUUGAGGUUUGACCACUAAAAUAAGCUAAUAUUAAUGUUUGGUAGUUAGGGGAUUGAAAUAGAGGUUUAGAAGCAAAAAGCUAAUUUUGAAAAAGUUACUUGGAGGAACUUUUCGGAUUAGCAGUUUGGAUUCAAAAAGUUAAUUUUGAAAAAAGCUACGUACUUUGAGGAGCUUUUUGGAUUAGCGCUUUUGGUUUGUGUCAGAAAAAGCUAAUCAAUCAGCUAUUUACCAAACAGUUUUACGAGAAACAGCUAAUUCAAUCUGCUAGUCAAAACAUCUAAUUCAAUAAGCUAGUUAAAAUAGCUAAUUCGAUCCGCUAACAGCUAACCGCUAAUUCCCAAACAAGGCCUAUAUUUAUAAUUAUGUGUCUAUUGAUUCAAAUACGAACCACAAUUUUCUUAUAUUAAUGUAAAACUCUUAAGUACAUCAAUUCCUUUACCUUGAUAUUUUUAUUGAUUUCAAAAUCUAAAUAUCAAAUUUUUAGUUAGAAAUGUCUUUUUGGAAUUUGAGUACGUAACAAAUGAAAAGGCACUCCAGGUUAAAUAAGUGAUACUCCUUCAUAAGUGUCCUUUGUCUUUUGAUUAGUCAAAUUAACUACACUUUGAUUAAAAUUUAUAUAUAUUAUAUAAUUGAAUUUUUUUUAUAAAAAAUAUUUUCGAUAAAUAAAUCUAGUCUAUUUUAAUAUGUAAUUUUCUAUUUUCAAAAAUAACAAAUAAAUAUUUUUUAAUAGUUGGUCAAAUUUGAGUCAAUUUGACUUAUCGAAAAGCAAAAUAGACAUGUAAAUUGGGACGGAGGGAGUAAAAAAGAUUAUGGUUGAAGAAAUAAAAAAAUAUAAGCAAGUCAAAGUGUAAAUAAUUAGAAAAAUAAUAACAUUUCAAAUUGUUAAGUUCAAAACAAAGCACUUACAUUUCAUGAAAUCAUCCAAACCGCUCUAAUUAAUGUUAUUGAGAAGGUUAAAUAAACAAAACACCAAUAUUAGAUGCAAUACAACUGUUACGUUCAAAACAGUACUACAGCGUUAAUGAGCUCAUUCACGUCUUGACUAUAAUGUCAGCAAACUGCUUAUAGCAAAAGUGAACUGUAUUAGUAUUUACUAAAAUUUUCACACAUUUGUUUGGGCAUUUUCUAGCCAUUAUGAUUUGAGGUCAGUUUUCAAGCAUCCUUCAAUCUUGUUUAUGAUUAAUGUACGAUUUUGUUUACUGUUUGUUUCACAACAUCAAAUCUAUAAGGUUAUCAAUGGCUUCUUCUUCUUCUCCCAACGCUCAAAUUGAGCUUGCUCGACAUAUGGUAACAGCACAAGAAAUACAGCUCUUUCUCUGUAACUUUUUUAGUUUCUGUGAUUUUAGUAUUAUUCUUUUUUUUUCGUUGAUUUUAAUAUUUUUCUUUUGUUCGUGUAAUCAUUAAAUUUGAUCCAUUUCAUUUACUUAGCCUAUAACUUAAUCCAUGUGUACUUGUGAUUGUGUUUGCUUAUUGUUUCAUUAGUAAUUGUCGGAUCUUACUUUUUCCCACAUACAGGGUGUUGUGGAUGACACUCUAAAUAGGAUUUAUGCGUUGAAACAACACCAAAGCGACCCACAGUUGUUUGUCCAGGUCCUGACUGCCUUCACGAGUGAUGCCCCUAUUAUCAUCACUAAACUUGAAUCGUCCCUGUAUGUAUUUGUACAUAUUUUUUUAGUUAUUGUAUAGCUUUCUAUGUUCAUUCCGCCCUAAUUAUAGGCCAUGUUUGCGUAUUCUUAUAUGUUAUCAGGAGCCAAAAUUUAAUAGACUUUGAAAAUUUGGAUAAAGAUGCCAUAAAACUUCGAGGAGCAUCUUCAAGAUAAAUGAUUAAUUAUGCGGGUGGUCUAACCUGUGAGGGCACAAGUUAAGGUGUAUUUAAUACAUCUCUGGAGUGGUUACCAGCUCAUAUGAUUUAAUAAUGCUGACUACUACUUUUCACUUUGUCCUAUUUUUUAAUUUUUCUCUUCUUCUCACCUUUUAACACUUUCAUUUUUACUUUUUAAAAUUUUAUUUUUUUAACAUAUAUAGAUUGAUAAAAAAAUAAGUAAAAGGUAUUUUUUGGAGGAACAACUACAAGGAUGAACAAACAACCACUACACCUAGCACCCGCUAAGUUGUAGUCAAGGAUUUCUUCAUUUUCAUUAUGAAGUGGAAUGCUGGUAGAAUCAUUUCUUAAAAUGGCAUGAGGGCUGAGGCCAUUGAUUUUAUUCUGCUCAGCCUUACCAUUAUGGACCAACAAAUCUCCCGAUAUUCUUUUAAUUUCUAUUUCUAUGCUUUUAAUAUUUUUGGUUUGUUCCUCAGGUCAUAUUAUUUCAUACUCAUAAACUCUGUUAAUCCAUGACUCAGUCAGAAGUGCAUGCAAAG